UCAAUUACAAGCUUGAGCCUUCAAAUUCACAGUUUCCCCACAGGAGGAAGGGUUAAAGAUUUGAUCUUUAUCUUGAAGUAGUGAAAUGGGAAAUCAUGAAACCAAUGGGGAAACUGAAAUCCAACUUCUUCUAUCUGGCUGUUUGCGGCACCUUGAUCUUUUGUUCUCAACAAAUUCUUUUUGAGCUGAAACCAUAUUAAUGACACCCAGAAAAUAGUUUCACCUGGUCAAAAAUUUAAGCUAGGCUUUUUCGCUCCUACUGAUACUGGUUCUACAUCAACUACCAACUCAAAUGUUCCAUAUUUAGGAAUAUGGUACCAAAAUAUGCCAGUCCAGUCUGUUGUUUGGGUAGCAAAUAGAAACAAUCCGCUUACUUCUUCUGGAUUGUUGACAUUUGAUGAGGAUGUAGAGCUUGUCCUUCUCAACCAGACAGGAAGCAUUAUCUGGUCAUCUAAUUCCUCACAUGUUGCAAGAUGGUCAGUUGCACAGCUGUUAGGCACCGGAAACUUUGUUCUGAAAGAUGCGGAGAAUGACAACACAGAGAACUGCUUAUGGCAAAGUUUUGAUUACCCAUCUGAUACAUUGUUGCCUGGCAUGAAACUUGGUUGGAACAGGAAAACUGGCUUGAAUCGACAUCUUACAUCAUGGAAAAGCUCAAGCGAUCCCUCUUCAGGAAACUACACUAAUAAUUUGGAUCCUCAUGGACUUCCUCAGAUUGUUCUGCAUAAAGGAACCACUAAGGAGUUUCGUACUGGACCGUGGUAUGGGACUCAGUUUAGUGCUCUAUCAGCUCUAAUGGCAAACCCGGUUUUCCAAACCAAAUUUGUCUCCAAUUAUGAUGAAGUGUACUAUUCCUUCAUCAUAGAGAUAACAUUAUUACAAGGUUUGUUUUGAGUCCGCCAGGCUUUGUCCAGCAUUUUUCUUGGAAUAAUAGACGUGCUAGUUGGAACCUCACGUUCACAGUCCAAGGAGACCGCUGUGACAAUUAUGGCCUUUGUGGUGCUUAUGGUAUUUGUAAUAUCAGCAAUUCCACCACUGUUUUUCAAUGCAUGAAGGGCUUUAAACCUAGAUAUCCCAAUGACUGGGAAAUGCUAGAUUGGUCAGGUGGAUGUGUUCCAAAGAAUCCACGUGUUUGUGGAAAUGAGGGGUUCAUAAAAUUAACUGGAAUAAAACUGCCAGAUGCGUCAGAAUAUUGGGUGAGUGUAAGUACGAGUGUCAAAGAUUGCAAGGAAAAGUGUUUGAGGAACUGCUCUGCGUGGCUUAUGCGAAGUUGGAUGUCAAUGGUACUCGCAAUGGUUGUGUUACUUGGGCUAGAGGGUUGGUUGAUACAAGACCAGUAGCUGAAUAUGGUCAAGAUCUCUACAUAAGAGUGGCAGCUUCAGAAAUAUGUAAAAUUCCGAUGUUGAUAGACCUGGAUUGGUCUUCCAGCAAAUUACCAUACUUCUCUUUGCCUCUGCUGAUUUUGCAGAAUAUCAGAUCAAGCACUGGCUUCGUCCAGUGCCAGGUUUAAAUGGUCCUGCUCUAGCCUCAUAUGGGGUUGGAAUUAAGGCCUGAUCUUACUGCAAUAUCUCAUUUGGUCACUUGAAUUAGAUAAUGAUAUAGAAGCUAAACGAAGGAACAUAGCAACUACUGCAGCCAUAUCAGUGUUUUCAGCUGUGAUCAUCGUGGCUUUGAUUAGCUGCUUUGUGGUUUGGACAAGGAGAACAAAUAUGGUAACCAAUCAAUCAGAUAAUAAAGUCGCUGUUAACGAAGAUGACGGUGAGGAUGAUGACCUUGAGCUCCCAGUAUAUGAAUUUUCGUCUAUUCAAUUUGCCACCAAUAACUUAUCUGUUGCAAAUAAGAUUGGAGAAGGGGAUUUUGGGCCUGUUUACAAGGUAAACUUCUGGCACUGAUUGUCUAAGACAAUUUCUUCAUCUUCUGUUCUUAUUCAUAAAGUUUGUAUGAGUACUUCAGCAAACUGCAUAGAUGUGAAUCGUUGUCAAAUAAGACUUCAAACAAGUCCUUCGAAUUGUUAUACCAAUAGAUAUAUCUUGCCAUCUUGGGGAGACUUUCUUGCCUUUUACAGGUCAGCAGGGUUUUGCAGAAUUGAAAUCAGACUCAUUGAUACAGCAGAUUUAAAACCAAGUUAAAGUUCACAAUUUAAAUUUAGUUUCAGCUUGUAGCAAAUUCUUAUGGACUUAUUUUAUCAACAAUAAUGGAGACUGGUAAAACAAUCCUUUCAUCUUUGGGAUUUAAAACCUAUAUACAAUUUAUUUUUCUUGGUUUUAUUUCUAGCUAAGAGGAGUAUCUCCCAUUCUUAGAAGGAGAUUUGGCUUUCAUAAAAUUGACAUCUCAAGUAAGAAAAGUGUUCAACUAUAUACAAUAUGAAGAAAAUUUUUGAGCUGGGAUGGUUAAUUAGCACUUAACACUAAAAAGAAAAUCAAAAUAAUGAAGUAUUGUGUGUUUUAUAACCUAGUUGAUUUUGGCAUUUAACUGAGCAAUUGAUUAGAGACUGAUUAGUGAGCGGAUCCUAAAAAGGCUAAAAAGAAGGCUACACAAUAAGAUUUCAAUUUGAUAACACAAUAAAUCCUAAAAAGGCUACAAAAGAAGCAACAUAAUUAUUAUAUUCUUCUUGAUGGUGAUGGUGAAAUAUCAUGGGACAUGUAGGGUUAUAUUAUCGAGCAAGUUGUGCGCAUUGGAUCAAAAGAAUUUCAUUUCACUGCCUUUUUAUUGUCCACAAAAAAAAUUAUGCUUAGUGUAAAAAGGGAAAUGCAUUUGAGUAGAACUCUCCCCACCAGUCUAAAUGCAAUCCUGCAAAUAAUCAUUUACUACUACAUCAUUUUCCAUUCAAAUUUUGAUUAAAUUUGAGCUUGCUUUCAAGGGACAAAAUGGUUAGAAAAUGAGAUAUUGUGUGGGGUGAAAAUAUCAUAUUUUGUGGAUUAUUUAGAUAUUCUCUGUUAUUAUUGUUAUUCAAAUAUAA